UACGUAGGGGGCAAGCGUUGUCCGGAUUUAUUGGGCGUAAAGAGCGUGUAGGCGGCUUUACAGGUCCGUUGUGAAAACUCGAGGCUCAACCUCGAGACGCCGGUGGAAACCGUAAAGCUAGAGUCCGGAAGAGGAGAGUGGAAUUCCUGGUGUAGCGGUGAAAUGCGCAGAUAUCAGGAAGAACACCAAUGGCGAAGGCAGCUCUCUGGGACGGUACUGACGCUGAGACGCGAAAGCGUGGGGAGCGAACAGG
rnacentral:rRNA from 1 species